AAGUAGACCCAUGCCAACCAGUUCUGAUGAUGUACCAGAAUGGCUCAAGGAUCAUACUUAUACUAUUUCUACUCUCUGGACAGACAUUAAUAAUAUUGGCAUCCAUUCAAUAUUUAUUUUAUGUUUGGAAAUGCAAGAAAAAGGCAUGCAUUCCUGACAAGUCAAUGAUUGGUUGCACCUCUUAAAGAUAACUUUCUGUUAUGAGAAAAGAUGAGAUUCUUGGACUCCUGCAUAGCACCACCAGAAAGGAAAAUCCCAUCAUGUUGCAAAAUAAAAGUCUUGGACCAAUUUUAAUUUAAGAUAUAUAUAUUAUGCUGUAAGCUCUAUACAUAUUUAUGUAUAUCCUGUCAUUCAGCCAACAGGUUU